UGGAAGUAAUAAAUUUGGCAAAGUAGUAGGAUAGAAAAUCAACAUACAAAAAUCAGUUGCACUCCCAGAUACUAACAAUGAACAGUCUGAAAGGAAAGGAAAGUUAGGAAGACAAUUCCAUUUACAAUAACUUCAAAAAGAAUAAAAUACUUAGGAAUUAGUUUAACCAAGGAAGUGAAAGAUUUAUACAGUGAAAACUACAAGACACUAAUGAAAGAAACUGAAGAA